AGUGAACGCUGGCGGUAGGCCUAACACAUGCAAGUCGAACGGCAGCACAGUAAGAGCUUGCUCUUACGGGUGGCGAGUGGCGGACGGGUGAGGAAUACAUCGGAAUCUACUUUUUCGUAGGGGAUAACGUAGGGAAACUGACGCUAAUACCGCAUACGACCUACGGGAGAAAGCACGGGAUCUUCGGACCUUGCGCGAUUGAAUGAGCCGAUGUCGGAUUAGCUAGUUGGCGGGGUAAAGGCCCACCAAGGCGACGAUCCGUAGCUGGUCUGAGAGGAUGAUCCGCCACACUGGAACUGAGACACGGUCCAGACUCCUACGGGAGGCAGCAGUGGGGAAUAUUGGACAAUGGGCGCAAGCCUGAUCCAGCCAUACCGCGUGGGUGAAGAAGGCCUUCGGGUUGUAAAGCCCUUUUGUUGGGAAAGAAAAGCAGCAGGUUAAUACCCCGCUGUUCUGACGGUACCCAAAGAAUAAGCACCGGCUAACUUCGUG
rnacentral:rRNA from 1 species